rnacentral:rRNA from 1 species
AGAAGUAAAUUAAGGGCGUACGGCGGAUGCCUAGGCUCACAGAGGCGAAGAAGGACGUGAUAAGCUGCGAUAAGCUACGGGGAGCUGCACANAAGCAUUGAUCCGUGGAUUUCCGAAUGGGGCAACCCACUAUGUUGAAGACAUAGUACCAUUUAUGGGGCGAACCCGGAGAACUGAAACAUCUAAGUACCCGGAGGAGAAGAAAACAAUAGUGAUUUCCUGAGUAGCGGCGAGCGAAACGGAAUUAGCCCAAACCAAAUUUGUUACGGCAAAUUUGGGGUUGUAGGACUAUGACAUGGAUUGUACAAAAAACUGGAACGUUUUGGAAAGAACGAUCAUAGAGGGUGAUAAUCCCGUACAGGUAAGUCUGUAUAAAUCCUAAUAGUAUCCUGAGUAGCGCGGGGCACGUGAAACCUUGCGUGAAUCAGCCGGGACCAUCCGGUAAGGCUAAAUACUCCUGUGAGACCGAUAGCGAACAAGUACCGUGAGGGAAAGGUGAAAAGUACCCUGAAUAAGGGAGUGAAAGAGAACCUGAAACCGUACGCUUACAAGCGGUCGGAGUCCCCUUGAGGGAUGACGGCGUGCCUUUUGCAUAAUGACCCUACGAGUUACUCCUCACUAGCAAGCAUAAGAACUUCAGGUUCGGAUGCGCAGCGAAAGCGAGUCUGAAUAGGGCGUAUAGUUAGUGGGGGUAGACGCGAAACCGUGUGAUCUACCCAUGGGCAGGUUGAAGUUGCAGUAACAUGCAAUGGAGGACCGAACCGCCAGACGUUGAAAAGUCUUCGGAUGACCUGUGGGUAGGGGUGAAAGGCCAAUCAAACUCGGAAAUAGCUCGUACUCCCCGAAAUGCAUUUAGGUGCAGCGUUGGAAUAGAGUGUCAUAGAGGUAGAGCUACUGGUUGGAUGCGGGGGCUUCAUCGCCUACCAAAUCCUGUCAAACUCCGAAUGCUAUGACAUGUUCUCCAGCAGUGAGGCAUUGGGUGCUAAGGUCCAAUGCCGAGAGGGAAAGAACCCAGACCAUCAGCUAAGGUCCCAAAAUUAUGGUUAAGUUGACCAAACGUGGUGCGAUUGCACAGACAGCUAGGAUGUUGGCUUGGAAGCAGCCAUUCAUUUAAAGAGUGCGUAACAGCUCACUAGUCGAGCGAUCGUGCGUGGAUAAUAAUCGGGCAUAAAUCAUAUACCGAAGCUAUGGACGCAAGUGGUAGGGGAGCAUUCCAGUCAGCGUAGAAGGCGAACCGUGAGGUUUUCUGGAGCGUCUGGAAAAGCAAAUGUAGGGAUAAGUAACGAUAAUGCGGGUGAGAAACCCGCACACCAAUAGACUCAGGUUUCCUCAGCUAUGCUAAUCAGCUGAGGGUUAGUCGGGUCCUAAGGCGAACCCGAAAGGGGUAGUCGAUGGCCAACGGGUUAAUAUUCCCGUACCGGCUAUUACUGCGAUGGAGUGACGAAGUAGUGAAAGCACCGCGCACUGACGGAAUAGUGCGUUGAAGGAGGUAGGUAUUGGUCUAGGUUAAGAGCUAGGAUCAGCUGAACUCUGAUAGUACCACAAGUCUUCGGAUGAGUGGAUAGUGUGCCUAAUCAGACUUCCAAGAAAAACUUCUAAGCACUAGGUAAUAGCUGCCCGUACCGUAAACCGACACAGGUAGUCAAGUAGAGAAUACUAAGGUGCUCGAAUGAAUCGUGGCUAAGGAACUAGGCAAAAUCGCCUCGUAACUUCGGGAGAAGAGGCGCCAUCUUCGGAUGGCCGCAGUGAAUAGGCCCAGGCGACUGUUUAACAAAAACACAGGACUCUGCUAAAUCGAAAGAUGAUGUAUAGGGUCUGACACCUGCCCGGUGCCGGAAGGUUAAGAGGAGGGGUUAUACUUCGGUAGAAGCUCUGAAUUGAAGCCCCGGUAAACGGCGGCCGUAACAAUAACGGUCCUAAGGUAGCGAAAUUCCUUGUCGGGUAAGUUCCGACCUGC